AUGAGCAGAAGGCAGGAGGGGACGUCCUGCUGGGUGAUUGGGGUGCCAGGGUAUGUUGGGGGGGGGAGGAGGAGGAUGGUGUUGGGAGACGUCCUGCUGGGUGAUUGGGGUGCCAGGGUGUGUUGGAGGGGGGAGCAUGGUGUUGGGAGAUGAAUAGAGUGGGCGACCUUUUUGUCACACUGGGGAAUGAGGAAGUGAGGACUGAGGGGUUGGAACUCGGCGGGGUGGCCACUCCGAAGCGCUGCUGUGAGAGUGGGCUGAGAAUCAACUGUGAUCCCAUGAAGGAACACCCGGAGGCCUGGAAGCCGGGGAAGAGAAUCCUCCGCGUAGAAGAUGCCACAGGGGGAGGAUGUACUGUAUGUAUGUCUUCUGGGGAGCCAAGAGAAAAGGAGAGAGAGCGAGGUUGGGGAACACCCAGGAUGGCAAGGCUGUGAGGUCCUGUGUCCUUGGAGCCACAAAUUUGCUGACUACGAGUCCUGAGCUCAAGAAGGCCUUCACAGAUCCUUAUUGUGCCUGUGGUGUGAGCCGUGUGAGCCCAGUGAGUGCCGGGCUAGCUGCAAUGCCAACAGUUCAGUCUCCUAGGCUGCAGUGGGGUGGACCCUGAACCAGCCGAGCAGGGCCAGCUGCAGCGGGCAGAGGAGAGGCCCUGUCUCAGCUCAGUUGGAUGAACCUUAGCAGGCCGGAUGACAGUACUGGAGCCCUGGAACCACCCUGGCUGGCCCACUCUGUGAACGUGGUUUGGACUCCCAUUUGCUGUUUGAAUA